GACGAACCGUGCGACCGUUGUUCGGAAUCACUGGGCUUAAAGGGCGCGUAGGCGGGCUGCCGAGUCCGGGGUGAAAUCCUGCGGCUUAACCGCGGAACUGCCCCGGAUACUGGCGGCCUCGAGUGGGGUAGGGGCGUGCGGAACUCUGGGUGGAGCGGUGAAAUGCGUUGAUAUCCAGAGGAACUCCGGUGGCGAAGGCGGCACGCUGGACCCCGUCUGACGCUGAGGCGCGAAAGCCAGGGGAGCGAACGGG
rnacentral:rRNA from 1 species